rnacentral:rRNA from 1 species
UACGUAGGGGGCUAGCGUUGCUCGGAAUCACUGGGCGUAAAGCGCACGUAGGCGGAUUGCUACGUCAGGGGUGAAAGCCCGGGGCUCAACUCCGGAAUUGCCUUUAAGACUGCAUCGCUAGAAUUGUGGAGAGGUAAGUGGAAUUCCGAGUGUAGAGGUGAAAUUCGUAGAUAUUCGGAAGAACACCAGUGGCGAAGGCGACUUACUGGACACAUAUUGACGCUGAGGUGCGAAAGCGUGGGGAGCAAACAGG